rnacentral:rRNA from 1 species
GAUGAACGCUAGCUGCAGGCUUAACACAUGCAAGUCGCGGGGGAGCAUGGGGGUUGCGUGCCAUCCGCGAUGGCGACCGGUGCGAGGGUGCGUAACGCGUAUCCAAACUGCCUUUCACCACCGGCUAAUCCGGCGAAAGCCGGGCUACAAAAGUAUGAAUCCCAUUGAGGGGCUCCGAUUUGCACGAAAGGCAUGGGGGUGGGGAAUGGGGAUGCGUCCGAUUAGUCAGACGGUGGUGUAACGGGCUACCGUGCCUACGAUCGGUAGGGGGUCUGAGAGGAAGGUCCCCCACACUGGAACGGAGACACGGUCCAGACUCCUGCGGGAGGCAGCAGUGAGGAGGAUUGCUCAAUGGGCGUAUGCCUGAACCAGCCAAGUAGCGUGCAGGAUGACGGCCGUAUGGGUUGUAAACUGCUAUUAUGCGGGGAUAAAGUGGCCCACGGAUGAGCUUUUGCAGGUACCGGAUGAAUAAGGACCGGCUAAUUCCGUG